UUAAUGAGAGUUUGAUCCUGGCUCAGGACGAACGCUGGCGGCGUGCCUAAUACAUGCAAGUAGAACGCUGAAGAGAGGAGCUUGCUCUUCUUGGAUGAGUUGCGAACGGGUGAGUAACGCGUAGGUAACCUGCCUUGUAGCGGGGGAUAACUAUUGGAAACGAUAGCUAAUACCGCAUAACAAUGGAUGACACAUGUCAUUUAUUUGAAAGGGGCAAUUGCUCCACUACAAGAUGGACCUGCGUUGUAUUAGCUAGUAGGUGAGGUAACGGCUCACCUAGGCGACGAUACAUAGCCGACCUGAGAGGGUGAUCGGCCACACUGGGACUGAGACACGGCCCAGACUCCUACGGGAGGCAGCAGUAGGGAAUCUUCGGCAAUGGGGGCAACCCUGACCGAGCAACGCCGCGUGAGUGAAGAAGGUUUUCGGAUCGUAAAGCUCUGUUGUAAGUCAAGAACGAGUGUGAGAGUGGAAAAUUCACACUGUGACGGUAGCUUACCAGAAAGGGACGGCUAACUACGUGCCAGCAGCCGCGGUAAUACGUAGGUCCCGAGCGUUGUCCGGAUUUAUUGGGCGUAAAGCGAGCGCAGGCGGUUUGAUAAGUCUGAAGUUAAAGGCUGUGGCUCAACCAUAGUUCGCUUUGGAAACUGUCAAACUUGAGUGCAGAAGGGGAGAGUGGAAUUCCAUGUGUAGCGGUGAAAUGCGUAGAUAUAUGGAGGAACACCGGUGGCGAAAGCGGCUCUCUGGUCUGUAACUGACGCUGAGGCUCGAAAGCGUGGGGAGCGAACAGGAUUAGAUACCCUGGUAGUCCACGCCGUAAACGAUGAGUGCUAGGUGUUGGAUCCUUUCCGGGAUUCAGUGCCGCAGCUAACGCAUUAAGCACUCCGCCUGGGGAGUACGACCGCAAGGUUGAAACUCAAAGGAAUUGACGGGGGCCCGCACAAGCGGUGGAGCAUGUGGUUUAAUUCGAAGCAACGCGAAGAACCUUACCAGGU
rnacentral:rRNA from 1 species